UAACUUUCCAGGUGAAAAGAACAGCAAAAUUUUCAGUCAUCAAAAAAAGUGCAUAUUUUAAGUGCAAGUUUUCUUGUAUUAUCUUUAUGAUAUAGGCCUAAACAGUCACACAUGCAAGAAUUCUCAUCCUAAUUACAUUAUAGUGACUUAAAAGGCAUGAUUUCAUGAAUUUCAUAAGACAUGUACUCAGUUACAACAGUGUCACACUGUUUUACUUAGCUCUUUGACACUGGUCAGGUGGUUUUUGUGGCUUUUCUUAGAGAAGGGGAUAGAGAGAGAGACUGAGAGAGACAGAGAGAGAGGGAGAGGGAGAGAGAGGCUGGUGAGCUAAAGAAAACAAAUAGGAAAGUGACAAAGAAUCAGUACCUCAUGAUUUUAAAAGUAUCUGAAACCAUGUUACCAAUAUAUUUUCUUUUUCUGAUCUCUUGCUCAGCCCUAGCAAAGAGUGAAAAUGAAGCUCUUUCUGUUUGGUGGGAUCCAGAGAUGCCUUCACAUUCUGAAAGCUUAAAUAGCUUGAUGGACGGCUAUGGAAAUGACCUACCGAAGGUUCGGCCGAACAUCAUCUUCUGUUGUGUGUGCCAAGAGGCUAUAAAACAGGCUAAGGCGGCGAUCAUUCAGAAGAUGACACAGAAGAUAAACUAUGUCUGUUACAAAUUCAUAGAGGCUUUUCGAAAGAUCUGCAUUCAGCGUGCAAUGAGAUAUCGGGACAUCAUACUGUACAAGCUCUUCCCUGGUGGCAGUCCAAGGGGCACAUGUUUAAAGAUAAAGUUAUGUUAGUAACAACUGUGACAAUGGCUGUUGAAGGGAGACAUUUACAUUGACUGUUACCAGCCCAUUUUAUAUUAACAAAGCAGAAAAUACAAUAGAAAAAUAUUUAUGUGUUAGUUGAUUUCAAUCCAUUGCCAUGUGUAUUUUGAGUGUGCAUAUACAUUUUUUUUUCAUUGACUUAAUGUUUCCUAAAAUGAGCCCUUUGAAUGCCCUGUUGAGUCUACUGUUUUUAUUUCUGCUUUUCAGAAAAUCAAUGAAACAUGCAAUAAAUGGAUACGGUUUUUACGUUCCCUCUGCUAU
ensembl:lncRNA